CCCUGCCCUUUGUACACACCGCCCGUCGCUACUACCGAUUGAAUGGCUCAGUGAGGCUUUUGGACUGGCUUAGGGAGGUUGGCAACGACCACCCCGAGCCGGAAAGUUAUACGAACUUGGUCAUUUAGAGG
rnacentral:rRNA from 1 species